rnacentral:lncRNA from 10 species
AAUGAAUUGUAGGUUAACAUGUCAACACAAGCUGAUAUUAGAAAGACCCCUUCCUCCCAAUACAAACACAUGGAUCAAAUAUAAUAAUGGAAGAUUUGGUUGUAAUGUCAAGCUUGAAAUUGACAGGAAAAUCUCCAAACUAAAUUCCCUGCAUACAACCAGGAGUCGUAAGGGGCUGAUCAUCCCAUGAAAUGAAAGAAGCUCAGCCACUGACCCUGCCUAGGAAACUGUAAGGAAGCUUUGCCCUCUGUCUAAAAUAUUAGGUGGAAAAGAAGUCACCCACUGGAAGCCAGCACCUCCGCCUGCAGGCUUGCUGCUCGAGUUGUCACCAUCUGGAACUCCAAAACUACAAAUCCCCUUCACAGAAAUCCUGGGACCUCCCGUCAACCCCACUGGAGGUGAAACACAGGAGAGGUCAUAUUUCUUCUUUAUGGCUCCAUUUGUGAGUUCCCCAUAACACCAACAAACAAGACUGUGUAUGGGUGUGAGACGACUGAAAAAGUUGUUAGAGAAUGAGAAUGUAAGAGGAACGGAGAGAAGAGGGUAGCAACAUGGUUGGCAUAAAGUGCCUAGCAAAAAGUUUUAAGAACAAGUUUCUCUAAUAUUCAAUUUUAAAUCUGGCACUGUGGUGACAGAAAAUAUCUCACGUCCUCAAAUCUUCAGUAAAGUCGUUUCAUUUACAUGUGUUUGGCAAACAGUAAGUGUCUGUUAGAUGAAAGAACAAAUGAACUCAAGGGGGCGAAUGCAAAAAACAACAGGCCCCCAACCCAACCCUUUCCAAUGCCUCCAGUGUUUUUCCCAGAGGCAACCACAUUUACCUCAUUGUUUUUAGUUACCCCAUCUGUAAACAAUCUGCUCAUGCUGUGAAUUUUUGAUGUCUCAAUCUUAGAUGUUGCAUACUCACUUCCUGCCAAGAUAGAUGAAGAUUUAACUACAUUAAACCACCACAAAUUUUCCCUACUCAUAACAGCUAAUAAAUUAUAUCACUAGUCAGCAUUGCACUUAUUACAUUUGCAACUUUAAAUAAUGUAACUCACAGUUCUUGCUUCAAUAUAAACAAUCCCUCUUCACUUUGCCAGAUAAGAAUUUUGUAUCCCUUACCCUUGUCUUCAUCUUUGGUUCCUUUAUUACACUAUCAUGCUUCACAUUUACAACCUGUUUUGUAACUAUAGUUAAGCAAUUCUUGCUUUGCCUACAGGUGGACUGUAUUUUUGAAAAUCAGUAAAGGCUAUUUAUGCUACAUCUGUGUAAACAGUAUUCACUGUCCAUGAAAGUUACCUUCUAUGUCUCUAUUUGUUUUUUGGUACAGCUUUUUGUCAUAUACCCUACUCAAUUAAAUUAUAAAUUGCCUUUUUACUUUGUCUUGAAUUGUCUUCCUUUAUGGCAUCAUUAGACUAGAUUCUUCCAACAUUUCCAGAAUACUAGCAAAUCCAGGAACUCCUUUUUUUCUACAGGCAGUUCUUACAGUCCUGAAGUCUUUCAAUCUGGAUAGACAGGCUUCCUGUUGCAUAACUAUCCUGGAACUUGCGUUCACUGCAUUUCUGAAUUUGUUCCACUGUUUCACAGACCCAAUCCACUUCAUUUCCUUCAACAAGUCCCUUGUUUUCUUGGCCUGUAUUCUCAAGAAACAUCCUAAAAAAGAAUAUUAGUGAGGCAAAGCUUUCUCAAAAGUUUGGGUUUCAUUUUCUUUUUCAUUCUGCCCACAUUAUUUUAUCAAUAGUUUGGCAUGGUAUAGAAUUCCAAGUUCAGGAGGCGUGGUGGCUCACACCUGUAAUCUCAAAUCUCAAUAUUUUGGGAGGCUGACGAGGGAGGAUGGCUUGAACCCAAGAGCUCAAGACCAGCCUCCGCAACACAGCGAGACCCUGUCUCUAACCAAUUUUUUUUUUUUAGGGGGAGUUUUGUUCGUGUCUCCCAGGCUAGAGUGAAAUGGCGUGAUCACGGCUCACUGCAACCUCC